CAGAGGGUGCGAGCGUUGUCCGGAAUCGACUAGGGCGUAAAGGGCGCGUAGGUGGCGCGGACAAGUCAGUGGUGAAAGUUCGACGCUCAACGUCGAAUCGGCCACUGAUACUGUUGGGCUUGAGCACUGUAGAGGCUAAUGGAAUUCCGGGUGUAGCGGUGGAAUGCGUAGAGAUCCGGAAGAACACCGGUGGCGAGGGCGGUUAGCUGGGCAGUUGCUGACACUGAGGCGCGGACAGCGUGGGGAGCAAACAGGAUUAGAUACCCUGGUAGUCCACGCCGUAAACGAUGGGCACUAGAUGCUUGGGGGAGCGACCCCCUGAGUGUCGACGCUAACGCAUUAAGUGCCCCGCCGUGGGGAGUACGGCCGCAAGGACUG
rnacentral:rRNA from 1 species